GAUCAUACCACAUUGAAACGCCGUUUCUCGUACGAGCACCGAAGUCAAGCCUAGUCAGUACCUAGAUGGGUGAUCGUUUGGGAAUACUAGGUGCUGUAAG